rnacentral:tRNA from 2 species
GGGGCAGUAGCUCAAAUGAAUAGAGUAUUUGGUGUCGUACCCAAAGGUUACGGGUUUGAAUCCCGUCUGCCCUU